CGCAAGCCUGAUGCAGCAACGCCGCGUGAGGGACGAAGGCCUUCGGGUUGUAAACCUCUUUUAGCAGGGAAGAAGCGAGAGUGACGGUACCUGCAGAAAAAGCACCGGCUAACUACGUGCCAGCAGCCGCGGUAAUACGUAGGGUGCGAGCGUUAUCCGGAAUUAUUGGGCGUAAAGAGCUCGUAGGCGGUCUGUCGCGUCUGCUGUGAAAUCCCGAGGCUCAACCUCGGGCUUGCAGUGGGUACGGGCAGACUAGAGUGCGGUAGGGGAGAUUGGAAUUCCUGGUGUAGCGGUGGAAUGCGCAGAUAUCAGGAGGAACACCGAUGGCGAAGGCAGAUCUCUGGGCCGUUACUGACGCUGAGGAGCGAAAGCGUGGGGAGCAAACAGGCUUAGAUACCCUGGUAGUCCACGCCGUAAACGUUGGGAACUAGAUGUGGGGACCAUUCCACGGUCUCCGUGUCGUAGCUAACGCAUUAAGUUCCCCGCCUGGGGAGUACGGCCGCAAGGCUAAAACUCAAAGGAAUUGACGGGGGCCCGCACAAGCGGCGGAGCAUGCGGAUUAAUUCGAUGCAACGCGAAGAACCUUACCAAGGCUUGACAUAUACGAGAACGCACUGGAGACAGUGAACUCUUUGGACACUCGCAAACAGGUGGUGCAUGGUUGUCGUCAGCUCGUGUCGUGAGAUGUUGGGUUAAGUCCCGCAACGAGCGCAACCCUCGUCCUAUGUUGCCAGCACGUUAUGGUGGGAACUCAUGGGAUACUGCCGGGGUCAACUCGGGGGAAGGUGGGGAUGAGGUCAAAUCAUCAUGCCCCUUAUGUCUUGGGCUUCACGCAUGCUACAAUGGCCGGUACAAUGGGCUGCGAUACCGUAA
rnacentral:rRNA from 1 species